GAGUUUCAAUAGUUUAGACUUAUCAAUGACUAAAAUUCAAUAGCUGAGAUUUGUUUACCUAUCUAUUCUCACCAACCCACUGCACUUACCAGCUAAGCCACUCUUUACAUCAUAUGUAUCAAUAUGUAUCAAUGAACACAGCUCAAUCGAAGGAAGAAAGCUCUGAAGAAGGAAGAACACAGCUCAAUCGAAAACUGUCUUCUCCACCAUCAUCAGAUUUUCAGGUCACCUGCUAAACCGCUUGUGCCGGCUGUUUCUGGACGAGUCCAAGAGCAUUGGCUGGUGCUUAAAUUGUUAUUUGGCAUUUUUUUUGUAUUGCAGACCAUUGACUGGUGUGCUUAAUUUGCUGUUUAUUUUUUUUCUAUUGCAGAACAUUGGCUGGCGUAUAUAGAUGUUUCUGUGUUGUGGGACUUACAUUUUGUUGUUUGUUUAAAAUCUUAUACUUUUGUUUUGCUUGAAUUUUAUGUAGAAUUUAUGUGUUUACUUUUCACUAUUUUGUU